AAUUCACAUACGCUCAACCUGCUGCUCCUUGCGGCCAUACCUUGAGAUGGAAGACACAUUUUUGAGGGUGAUGUUACAGGUCACAUGUGGGCCUCAAUGUUCGGAUGUCCUGGAUGUGGUGAGGUUAACAAGUGGCUUUCAGAGUUGGAGACUGGAUCUUCUGGUCCAAUAUUCCCAUGGAUAAUGAUACCUGGAAGCAAUGAAGUUACAAAGGAUAUAAAUGAUCUGUUCCAAGGUUUGAAGACCAUCUGGCAUAUUGAUCUUGAUGAGAAAGCUCACUCAGAGAAGUAGUCAAGAAAGCAAUAUAUUGAAAAUAAAGCCAUGUAUGUAGCAACGAAGGUAUUCAAGGUGCCCACUUUGAUGACUUGUACUCGUGCCUUUGAUCCCCACUGUAGAAAAUGCUCUGCUCCAUUUCAAAAGAGAUUGCCUUGUGCCCCAUUUGUUGGCCUUUGGAUCAAACCAGCAACAGACCUCACAGAUAGAAUUCCACCAUUAGCCAUUCACAAAGAGGUAAAUUCUAAGUCCUUUGCCUCACUUCCAAAUAUUUCUCUCCAGAGAAAAGCUUUUUUUUUUUUUUUAAAUCUAUUUGUUAAUAUUGCCAUCUGUUUUGGUUACUACUAA
rnacentral:lncRNA from 1 species